rnacentral:rRNA from 1 species
GGUGGAGCGAUUUGUCUGGUUAAUUCCGAUAACGAACGAGACUCUAGCCUGCUAAAUAGUUCGCCGAUCGCAAUCUGUCGGCGUUAACUUCUUAGAGGGACAAGUGGCGUUUAGUCACACGAGAUUGAGCAAUAACAGGUCUGUGAUGCCCUUAGAUGUCCGGGGCUGCACGCGCGCUACACUGAAAGAGUCAGUAUGCGUUUUUUAUACCCGGUCCGUAAGGACUAGGUAACCCUGCGAAAUUCUUUCGUGCUUGGGAUAGGGAAUUGAAAUUAUUUCCCUUAAACGAGGAAUUCCCAGUAAAUGCGGGUCAUAAGCUCGCGUUGAAUACGUCCCUGCCCUUUGUAC